rnacentral:tRNA from 1 species
CAGAGAAUAAUUUUAAAAAAAAUAUUAAUUUUGGAGAUUAAAAAUAAAGAAUGAAUCUUUUUCUCUGA